UGAUUGGGUCAGCUAAACAAGCUCUCGGGCCCAUACCCCGAACAUGACGGUUAAAAUCCUUCCUCAAUCAA
rnacentral:tRNA from 1 species